GAAGUAGCUCAGUGAUGGAGCAUUUGCUUUGCCCGCAGAAGGUUCCAAGUUCAAGCCCUGGAAUCUCCA